rnacentral:snRNA from 1 species
GGAUGUGAGGGCGAUCUGGCUGUGAUAUGUGAUACCCCAUUGAUCGCCAGGGUUGAUUCGGCUGAUCUGGCUGGCUAGGCGGGUGUCCCCCUGGCUAGGUGGGUGUCCCCCUCCUCCCUCACCGAUCCAUGUGCAUCCCUUCCAAGCUGCGCACUUGGUCGGAGAGGGCGGUCUUCGGUCAAGGGUAUACAAGUAGCUGUGUUCCCCUGCUAGAAUCUCCAAACAAGCUCUCAAAUCUCAGAGCCAGCCCUUUACUAACUGUACAUUAGGUGAGAUAUGAGCCCCAAUUUUGUCUGUGUCAGAUAAAAGU